rnacentral:rRNA from 1 species
GACGGAGGAUGCAAGCGUUAUCCGGAAUUAUUGGGCGUAAAGCGUCCGCAGGUGGACAUACGAGUCUGCUGUCAAAGUGCAGAGCUUAACUCUGUAAAGGCGGUGGAAACUGUAGGUCUUGAGUAUGGUAGGGGUAGAGGGAAUUCCCGGUGUAGCGGUGAAAUGCGUAGAUAUCGGGAAGAACACCAGUGGCGAAAGCGCUCUACUGGGCCAUAACUGACACUGAGGGACGAAAGCUAGGGGAGCGAAAGGG